rnacentral:lncRNA from 1 species
AAAAAAUGAAGGAGGAAACUCUAAAAAAGGUCACUUUGUCAGCUUGGAAAUGGCAAAAAGAAAUAAUUGUUAUAGUAAAAUAGAAAAAUUGUAAUUAAUUAUAUCUUUGUAAAUUAACAAAUAAUUUUAUCUAACUAUUUUUAGUAAUAUAAAUAAUUAAUUUCGAGAUGAAAAAAUAAUAUCAAAAUGUUAGAAAUAGAAUAAAUCAGGUAAAAAAAGAUUUGAAUUUCAUAUUUUCCAUGAAUAAAAUUAUUAAAGUAUGAAAGUAGAAAAUUUGGAAUAAUGAUUGGAAAAGAAAAACAAAAGAAGUAAAAAAAGUAAGAA